rnacentral:rRNA from 1 species
GGAAGUGAACCAUCUCAGUACCCGGAGGAAGAGAAAACAACAGUGAUUCCGCCAGUAGCGGCGAGCGAACGCGGAACAGCCCAAACCAUCGUGCUUGCACGAUGGGGUUGUAGGGCCUGUCUGGUGUAAAGCCAGCGAGUUACCAAUCAGCAUGUUAGUCGAACGAUCUGGAACGAUCGGCCAGAGAGGGUGACAGUCCCGUAGACGACAAUGUGCUGACUCGCGACAGGUUCCUGAGUACCGCGGGACACGUGAAAUCCCGCGGGAAUCUACGAGGACCAUCUCGUAAGGCUAAAUACUCCCUGGCGACCGAUAGUGAACCAGUACCGUGAGGGAAAGGUGAAAAGAACCCCUGCGAGGGGAGUGAAAGAGUACCUGAAACCGUAUGCCUACAAGCAGUGGGAGGGCUAUGCCUGGACUUCGGUCCGGGAAUGCCUGACCGCGAGCCUUUUGCAUAAUGAGCCGGCUAGUUAAUCUCAGUGGCAAGGUUAAGCGCAAGCGAGCCGAAGCGAAAGCGAGUCCGAAAUGGGCGACAAGUCGCUGGGAUUAGACGCGAAGCGAGGUGAUCUACCCUUGGCCAGGGUGAAGUACGGGUAACACCGUAUGGAGGCCCGAACCAGUGUUGGUUGAAAACAGCUUGGAUGAGCUGAGGGUAGGGGUGAAAGGCUAAUCAAACCUCGUGAUUGCCCGUUCUCCUCGAAAUAUCUUUAGGGAUAGCCUCGAGAGGUCGGCGCUGGUGGUAGAGAACUGAAUGGACUAGGGGGCUUACCAGCUUACUGAAUCCAAUCAAACUGCGAAUGCCAGCGACACGUAUCUCGGGAGUCAGACAGUGGGGGCUAAGCUUCAUUGUCGAGAGGGAAACAGCCCAGACUACCGGCUAAGGUCCCUAACUCUGUACUAAGUGGUAAAGGAUCUGGAGACGCUCAGACAACCAGGAGGUUGGCUUAGAAGCAGCCAUCCUUUAAAGAAAGCGUAAUAGCUCACUGGUCAAGCGGCUCCGGGCCGACAAUAUAACGGGGCUCAAGUACAGGACCGAAGCCGUAUAAUAGACGCGAUCCUGCGGGAUUGCAUAUUGGUAGAGGAGCGUUCUCGUCGCAGCGGAGUCAGACCGUGAGGACUGGUGGAGCGGCGAGAAGUGACCCUGCCGGCAUAAGUAGCGAGAAGGGAAGUGAGAAUCUUCCCCGCCGUAAGCCUAAGGUUUCCUGAGGAAGGUUCGUCCGCUCAGGGUCAGUCGGGAGCUAACGCGAGGCCGAAAGGCGUAGCGGAUGCACAUCCGGUCAACAUUCCGGAACUACCUACUUUUCGUUAUCACGAUGGGGGGACGCAGGAGGCUAGUCGGGCCCACGAUUGGACGUGUGGGUUCAGGCAUGUAGGGGGAUCUUCCAGGCAAAUCCGGAAGGUCACACUCCCUGAGGUGCCAUGUCGAGGGUUUUCGGACCCGCAAAGCCGGCGACGCCACGCUGCCGAGAAAAGCCUCUAAGGAGAAAAGUGGGUACCCGUACCGCAAACCGACACAGGUAGGCGAGGAGAAAAUCCUCAGGCGCAAGUGAGAACCCUCGUUUAGGAACUCGGCAAACUGGCCCCGUAACUUCGGAAGAAGGGGUGCUCGAAUACCGUGCGCGAUCCUUGCGGUCGCGUGCGCGAACGAGUUGCAAUAAAGAGGCCCAGGCAACUGUUUACUAAAAACACAGGACUCUGCUAAGUCGAACACGACGUAUAGGGUCUGACGCCUGCCCGGUGCCGGAAGGUUAAAGGGAGAGGUCAGCCGCAAGGCGAAGCUUCGAGCUGAAGCCCCGGUAAACGGCGGCCGUAACUAUAACGGUCCUAAGGUAGCGAAAUUCCUUGU